rnacentral:rRNA from 1 species
CAGUAGCCGCGGUAAUACAGAGGAUGCAAGCGUUAUCCGGAAUGAUUGGGCGUAAAGCGUCUGUAGGUGGCUUUUCAAGUCCGCCGUCAAAUCCCAGGGCUCAACCCUGGACAGGCGGUGGAAACUACCAAGCUGGAGUACGGUAGUGGCAGAGGGAAUUUCCGGUGGAGCGGUGAAAUGCGUUGAGAUCGGAAAGAACGCCAACGGCGAAAGCACUCUGCUGGGCCGACACUGACACUGAGAGACGAAAGCUAGGGGAGCAAAUGGGAUUAGAUACCCGGGUAGUCCCUGUCUCUUAUAA